AGAUGCCUUCCAGCUGCUGGCUGGUCCUCAGGACCCCACUGCCACUGAGAGCUGACGAGUGGUCCAGUGCACGGGGGCGCCCUCCCUGGACACAGGGGCUGCCAACCCUGUGUGAAUGUGAGCCUCAUGAAGGAGACAGGUGAGAAGCCUGAGCGCUGGUGGCUGUGAGCUCCUAAACUGUAAAUACAAAUAAAGUCCAAA
rnacentral:lncRNA from 1 species